rnacentral:rRNA from 1 species
AUUGAACGCUGGCGGCAGGCCUAACACAUGCAAGUCGAGCGGAUGAAGGGAGCUUGCUCCUGGAUUCAGCGGCGGACGGGUGAGUAAUGCCUAGGAAUCUGCCUGGUAGUGGGGGAUAACGUCCGGAAACGGGCGCUAAUACCGCAUACGUCCUGAGGGAGAAAGUGGGGGAUCUUCGGACCUCACGCUAUCAGAUGAGCCUAGGUCGGAUUAGCUAGUUGGUGGGGUAAAGGCCUACCAAGGCGACGAUCCAUAACUGGUCUGAGAGGAUGAUCAGUCACACUGGAACUGAGACACGGUCCAGACUCCUACGGGAGGCAGCAGUGGGGAAUAUUGGACAAUGGGCGAAAGCCUGAUCCAGCCAUGCCGCGUGUGUGAAGAAGGUUUUCGGAUUGUAAAGCACUUUAAGUUGGGAGGAAGGGCAGUAAGUUAAUACCUUGCUGUUUUGACGUUACCAACAGAAUAAGCACCGGCUAACUUCGUG